rnacentral:rRNA from 1 species
UCAAGCUAAUAAGAGCGCAGGGAGGAUGCCUUGGCAUUGGGAGCCGACGAAGGACGUGGUAAGCUGCGAAAAGCUGCGGGGAAUUGCAAGCAAGUAUUGAUCCGCAGAUGUCCGAAUGGAGCAAUCCGUUAAGAGUAAUAUCUUAACAUCAUAUACUGAAUCAAUAGGUAUAUGAGGGGAACCGCCUGAACUGAAACAUCUAAGUAGGGCGAGGAAAAGAAAUCAACCGAGAUUCCGAAAGUAGUGGCGAGCGAAAUCGGAAGAGGCUAAACCGAACUCAGAAAUGAGAUCGGGGUUUAGGACUGCAUUUAGUAUUGAAAUGAGCGAGCAGAAUGCUUUGGGAAAAGCAGCCGAAGAACGUGAGAGCCGUGUAAGCGAAGUGAGUUUCAGCGAGCAGUAUCCAAAGUACCGCGGGGCACGUGAAAUCCCGUGGGAAGAUGGGGGGACCACCCUCCAAGCCUAAAUACUACCCAAUGACCGAUAGCGAAUAGUACUGUGAAGGAAAGGUGAAAAGCACCCCGGGAGGGGAGUGAAAAAGAACCUGAAACCCUGUGCUUACAAGCACUGAGAGCUCGUCAAAGAGUGAUCAGGUACCUAUUGUAGAAUGGUCCGGCGAGUUAUGAUAUGCAGCAAGGUUAAGUACUUAAGGUACGGAGCCGCAGCGAGAGCGAGUCUGAAUAGGGCGUAAAGUUGUAUGUCAUAGACCCGAAACCGAGUGACCUAGCCAUGUCCAGGCUGAAGUGGAGGUAAAACUCCAUGGAGGGCCGAACCGACCUCCGUUGAAAAGGCGGCGGAUGAGGUGUGGCUAGCGGAGAAAUUCCAAUCGAACUCGGAUAUAGCUGGUUCUCUCCGAAAUAGCUUUAGGGCUAGCGUUGCAACAGAUUACCGGAGGUAAAGCACUGAAUAGGCUAGGGGGCGAGAGCUUACUGAACCUUAUCAAACUAAGAAUGCCGGAUAAUUGAUUUGCAGCAGUCAGACAGUGUGAGAUAAGUUUCAUUGUCAAAAGGGAAACAGCCCAGACCCACAGCUAAGGUCCCAAAGUACAUUUGAGUGGAAAAGGAUGUGGGGUUGCAUAGACAACCGGGAUGUUGGCUUAGAAGCAGCCAUACAUUAAAAGAGUGCGUAAUAGCUCACCGGUCGAGUGACCCUGCGCCGAAAAUUCAACGGGGCUAAAAUGUACACCGAAGCUUGGGAUUGCAGUUACUGAACAAAGCAGAUUGAUGAAAAGGUUGAAUCUGGCCGAAGGCAAAAUUCAACUAAAAAGCUAAAAGUCAGUAAGCUUUGUUCAGUAACUGCAGUGGUAGGAGAGCGUCGAAUACGGGGUGAAGUCAGAGCGGAAGCGCUGGUGGACUGUAUUCGAGUGAGAAUGCCGGAAUGAGUAGCGAGAAUUAUGUGAGAAUCAUAAUGGCCGAAAGUCUAAGGUUUUGGAAGGAAGGUUCGUCCGCUUCCAGUAAGCCGGGAGCUAAGGUGAGGCCGAAAGGCGUAGCCGAUGCACAUACGGUUGAAAUUCCGUAGCCUCCGAAGUAUUUAAACAGAAGGACACUUGAGAAGUGAUGUUGCCGGGCGAUGGUUGACCCGGUCGUAAGGGACCGAAAUUUAGUAGGGAAGUCAUCAUGGAUUGAGGCGAGAAAAGUUCUGUGAAUAUACAAGGAGCCCGUACCGCAAACCGACACAGGUAGAUAGGAAGAAAAUUCUAAGGCCAACGGGAGAAGGGUUGUUAAGGAACUCGGCAAGUUGACCCCGUAACUUCGGAAUAAGGGGUGCUCUCGAGAGAGAGCCGCAGAGAAUAGGCCCAGGCGACUGUUUAGCAAAAACACAGCUCUAUGCUAAAUCGAAAGAUGAUGUAUAUGGGGUGACACCUGCCCGGUGCCGGAAGGUUAAGAGGAGGCGUGAGAGCGCUGAAUUGAAGCCCCGGUAAACGGCGGCCGUAACUAUAACGGUCCUAAGGUAGCGAAAUUCCUUGUCAGGUAAGUUCU